UUAGUUUGGUCGGUUUCUUUGUUUUUUCCGACAUCCAAGGCAACGCGAUGAGCAAAUUCUUCGACUCAGUCACCUCCUUGUUCAGCAGCAAAGACCACAUUCCACGCUACGAUCUCAACAUCAUCCGAGUAAUCAUCUCCAAUUCUCCAAAAACCUAUCUUUCAAUCCACUCCCUUGUGAUUUUCUUGGAAAUAAUUGAACCCUGUUUUGGUUUUCCUCAAGGAAAUGUGGGCAGUGAAAAGGAGUAUCAGAAACUUGUGCGACUCACUCACCGAUUUCUUUAGCAGCGGAGACCACAUGCCUUGGAACGAUCCCGACACCAUUGCCGAACUGUUUUGUGACUAGUUUUGAUGGACAGUAUUCAUGUGCAUAUGUUAUUACUAGUGGGUUGUGAGAGAGAAGUUGCAGAGGCUGCAAAUGGUGUCUCGGAUGAACUAAAGAGUGAGAGAAUUAUGCGGUUAUCAUGGGCUCUUGCUCAUUCCAAACAACCAGAAGACAUGCAGCGUGGGAUAGCUAUGCUUGAAGGUCAGAACCAAUAAAUUCAAUGCUAAAUAAUUUUUCUUUACAGCAAGGAGUUUAUAGUUCUCAUACGAUCUUGAUUUCAAUCUUGUUUAAUUUUUCCACUCAUUCUGUUUAACAUCCUUCUGUUGUUUACACUUUUAUUUUACUCUCUUUGCCACCAAUCUUCACUGUAACUAUCAGCUCACCCUGAUCUUGUGCGUGCAUGCAUGUGCAUUUUUGUCUCUUUUUGUAUUUUUUUAACUUGAUUUGUUUGUUUCUUUAUUCAUGGAAAAAUGGAGAAAAAAAGCAACUUAAUAGCCUGUACACUUACUAAAAGUUGCAUGUUGUACACACAUUUUUGGAUGAUUAGUUUAGGGGCCAUCAAAAGUUUACUGCAUUUUGUGCUCCAUACUUGUUUAUGCUUGAGAAAUUCAAAUUAUUAGCUCAACGUAGCGAACCUCAAAGUUGUGGACUUGGUGCUGACCCCUUCUGUAAAGAGUUUGUAAACGAUAACUUUAGUACCUGAAGUAAUGACAACCAUUCCCUUCGGAGUCAUGAUUAGCUUUGUUUAUGCUUUGUGUUCUUGGAGGACUCACCGGUCUCGCCAGACUUGGCUCCUGCGUUCAUUAUGGAACUUCGGAACACAUCACGGACGUAGGGCUGUGGCUGUGGUUGUGGCUGUGGGGUCAAAUGGCUUUCAAUUACAACACUUAGCUGCACAUUGUGCUGGUCAGCAAUGGCCAUGGGUCGGUCGUGGCUGCUGCUCCCUCCACCUGAUUCUUCUCCUUGGACUAUACUCGUCCUUGUUGAAGAUAUCUUAUCAUUCAAAGUAACUUUGUCAGAAGCCUGAUUGGACAUUGCUAGCUCAUAAGAAUCAGAUACACAAUCUAGCAAGAGGAGGUAGUUGCAAAUGGAUUCUUGGCACGUAUCAGUACGAGGGAAGGCAGCGAAAUAUGUCUGAACGGCGGUCAAAAAAAUAGCAAACAGUGCAGCAAGGACAGCAAUGGCAGUCCAGGGGCUCCUAAAAUGGUCGCGCAUCACUUCAGCAAUCCAAGAUGCUAUCCUGGUCUUCCCUUUGCGGCUGUGGUAUUCUUCGAUACUCGACAUGACGCAAAAAUAACUCGUAUUUCUAUAAUCUGGGACCAACCCAGCAGCCAUUUCACUGAUUACUUUCACAACUUCUUCAUCGUUCCUGAGAAAAUUGGUGAUGAUACCUGCAUAUUUCAGCUCCUUAACAUCGUUAGCAGAAUCAAUGAUUGAAUCUAAAAAGCAUAUAUAAUUUGUCGCCCAUAAGUAAUUAGCUAAGGUAUUAGGGCAGUGUUCAUAGGCAGCCAAGUUGAGAAGCAAAGAAAUGUUUAUGUCGUCAAUGUUUAUUUUAGGAAGUAUCAGUAUCCCGCCAGUCCACGUAGACUUGAAUGCUGUAUAUGAUAAGCAAUCAUGAUAGGAAGGCCUGAAUCGAAUCCCCACCAUCUUAAGGUCCAUGGCCGAUCGACGCGGGUACUGAUGAUGAUGAAUAUUGCCACUGCCCUGUAUUUUUCUAUUCCUGGAAGAAAUGGUGUGGUCAUAUUUAAUAUGAUCCGCCCAUGUGUUUUCUAGAACUUGUUUACUUCCAUAAAUUUCUACAAGUUCCCAA